GCAUUCCUUGGUGGUUCAGUGGUAGAAUUCUCGCCUGCCUGCCACGCGGGAGACCCGGGUUCGAUUCCCGGCCAAUGCU